rnacentral:lncRNA from 1 species
CAUGAAAAUAAAGGGUUUCAAAGGUUGCCCCAGGUGGCAAAGGCAUGGCCGCCAUUAAUCCGUCGGAAACUAUAACUACAACUUUGAAAACAGGAUGAGUCAUAAGGGGAAUGCCUGGAAGAGAAAAUUAUAGGAUUCUUAAUUUAGGAACUCUGAAUCACUGCGUUGAAUUAAGUAACUGGAUUGAUAUGAUGAGGCAUAGUUAGUUGCUCCUACACUGUCCCACAGGUGGUAAUGGAAAAUUCUAUUUGUAAUAUCUUCUUGAAAGUUCUAUUUCUAAUCUUCCUUUCCACACCAACUCUCCACCACAGAUAAAGAAAAAAAAAACCCAUGGAUGGUUGAAAAGACUCUAAUUUUAGGAGGAAAAGAUGGUCCCUCUUUGAAGUAUUGAUGAAGGUUGUGUGCUUGUGUUUGUUUGGCUUUCCUUUGAGCCUGCCAGCACUAUGCAAGCGAAGUAGGAGAGUGACUUAUGUUGCCUCAUCACGUACAGGAAUAUAUACAUAGGAGCCUGCAAUGUGGUAUACCAGCUUUAAUUGCUGCCUGCAACACCUGUAUCCCAUCUGGGCGCCGGUUCGAGUUCUGCUUGCUCUACUUACAAUCCAACUCCCUACUAAUGGCCUGGGAAACAAUGCAAGAUGACCUAGAUCCUUUGGCCCCUGCACCCACCUGGAAGACCUGGAAGAAGCUCCUAGCUCCUGGCUUCAGCCUGCCCAGUCCUGUAGUCAUUUGAGGAGUGAACCAAUCAAUUGAUAGAUCUCUCUCUCUCACUCUCUCUCUUUCCCCAUCCUACUCUUCCCCUGCCCUGGUCUGUAACUCUGUCAAAUAAAUAAAUAAUUUUUUUUUUUUAAAAAGGAAUA